rnacentral:rRNA from 1 species
GUGGGGAAUAUUGGACAAUGGGCGCAAGCCUGAUCCAGCCAUGCCGCGUGUGUGAAGAAGGCCUUUUGGUUGUAAAGCACUUUAAGCGAGGAGGAGGCUCCUUUAGUUAAUACCUAAAGAGAGUGGACGUUACUCGCAGAAUAAGCACCGACUAACUCUGUGCCAGCAGCCGCGGUAAUACAGAGGGUGCGAGCGUUAAUCGGAUUUACUGGGCGUAAAGCGUGCGUAGGCGGCUUUUUAAGUCGGAUGUGAAAUCCCUGAGCUUAACUUAGGAAUUGCAUUCGAUACUGGAAAGCUAGAGUAUGGGAGAGGAUGGUAGAAUUCCAGGUGUAGCGGUGAAAUGCGUAGAGAGCUGGAGGAAUACCGAUGGCGAAGGCAGCCAUCUGGCCUAAUACUGACGCUGAGGUACGAAAGCAUGGGGAGCAAACAGGAUUAGAUACCCUGGUAGUCC